UCUUGAGUCAAAUUGUGGAGCUGAGAAGUUAUCACCAGAAAAUGAGAUUUAUGAAAUAAAUUUGCUCGAACAGGUAUAAAGCAAGGCUCUUUCUCUUGCUCCAAUAAAGUAAUCACGUCUGGCUUAGGAGUGGAACAUCCUACUCACAGGAAAGAAAUGUCACAGGAUUUAGGACAAACAAAGAAAACGAUCCUUCUUUUGGAGAAUGGCAGGACUGGGGUAGAAGAAAAUCAUGAGACAUCAGGCUUUUCUUGGGGCUCAGACAGACGGAGAAUGCCCCUUCCAGAGCCCCAUCGGUCCUGACCUCGCACAUAUAACCAGAGGGAAGAGGGAGGCUGGAACCCGCCUUUGAAUUCACAGCAGAUUCCGAGGGUCAGAGGGCUCUGGGUUCCAGCAUCUGCCUGGCCUGUUGUGUCCCUGCUUCAGCAGGAGGAGUCAGUGUGCUGAGCGUUCCACUGGAGCCCCCAAUCCUAUCACAUAAGACAACAUAUAUAUCUUAAGAUCCUGAAGAAACGGCAAAAUGUCCAAGUAAUAUUUAGGGAUAAUUUGUGAGGAGAAGUAAAAAAAAAGUGCUGCAGUCAUCAUGGCAUUGAGCACCAUCUUCUGGCUGCUGCUUCUGCUUCUUCAUCUUCCUUUCCCUAUGAGGCUGACAUGGAGGACGGUGUUUGAGUCUUCUGGGAUGGCUGUGGUGUGGUCUGUGCCAUCAAACAUAGCUUCUGGUUUGUGCAGACAGUGGUGACAUUUGUCAUGUUGUUGUACUGGUACAGAGUCAUUUUUGAUCAACAGAGUCCUUUUUAACAAAGUAGCAGUACACAGAUUGUAGUCUCAUCUGAGAUAUGCUAACAGAUUCUGGUUGUCCUCAAAGGAAAUGUUACUGAAGAAUAUAUGAAACCUGGAGAAACAAUCGACAUGUGUCCAGCUGUUGCUGUAUCAAGCUGGGGUUCACUCACCAUGGCAGUAACUGCAGAAGAUGUAUUCACACAAUGGAUCAUCACUGCCUGUGGGCAAACAGUUGUGCAGGAAUCUCCUUCUCAGUGGAAACCUACAGCCUGGUCUUUGGAUGAUGCUUACACAAGUGUUCUAUUUAUAAUAAGUUGUUACAUCAUACAUUUAUAUUUUGGGCACUUUUAUGUGUAUUAUUUUUACAAUUAAAAACAAAUAAAAACAUUUACAUAUA